UAUAUAUAUAUAGAGUAAUGAUCCUAUGAGACUUUCCCACACCCAUGUGUGUAGGACCUCAAAGGUUCACCAUUAAAUUUGGCACAGAUCUCUAGAAAAGUUAUCACAUGGGUGUGGGACUUGACUUUUCUAGAUAUCUGUGCCAAAUUUAGUGGUGAUCCUUUGGGGUCCUACACACAUGGGUGUGGAAGGGUCUCUCAAGGUCAUUUCCCAUAUAUAUAUA
rnacentral:pre_miRNA from 1 species